GGCUCAGAACGAACGCUGGCGGCGCGCCUAAUACAUGCAAGUCGAGCGAGAAGACGUAGCAAUACGUUUGUAAAGCGGCGAACGGGUGAGGAAUACAUGGGUAACCUACCCUCGAGUGGGGAAUAACUAGCCGAAAGGUUAGCUAAUACCGCAUACGGCUCCUGGUCUGCGGAUUGGGAGAGAAAGCGAUACCAUGGGUAUCGCGCUCUUGGAUGGGCUCAUGUCCUAUCAGCUUGUUGGUGAGGUAAUGGCUCACCAAGGCUUCGACGGGUAGCUGGUCUGAGAGGACGAUCAGCCACACUGGCACUGCGACACGGGCCAGACUCCUACGGGAGGCAGCAGUAAGGAAUAUUGCGCAAUGGGCGACAGCCUGACGCAGCGACGCCGCGUGGGGGAUGAAGGUCUUCGGAUUGUAAACCCCUUUCGGCAGGGAAGAUGGAACGGGUAACCGUUCGGACGGUACCUGCAGAAGCAGCCACGGCUAACUUCGUGCCAGCAGCCGCGGUAAUACGAAGGUGGCAAGCGUUGUUCGGAUUUACUGGGCGUACAGGGAGCGUAGGCGGUUAGGUAAGCCCUUCGUGAAAUCUCCGGGCCUAACCCGGAAAGGGCGGAGGGGACUGCUUGGCUAGAGGAUGGGAGAGGAGCGCGGAAUUCCCGGUGUAGCGGUGAAAUGCGUAGAGA
rnacentral:rRNA from 1 species